UACAGAGGUCUCAAGCGUUGUUCGGAUUCAUUGGGCGUAAAGGGUGCGUAGGCGGCGCGGUAAGUCGGGUGUGAAAUCUUGGAGCUUAACUCCGAGACUGCAUUCGAUACUGCCGUGCUUGAGGACUGGAGAGGAGACUGGAAUUUACGGUGUAGCGGUGAAAUGCGUAGAUAUCGUAAGGAAGACCAGUGGCGAAGGCGGGUCUCUGGGCUGACACUGACGCUCAUGCGCGAAAGCGUGGGGAGCAAACAGG
rnacentral:rRNA from 1 species